CUGAUCAAUGAAUUAUUGGAUGAGUUGUUUGGUUCUGCUUGGUUUACUAAACUAGUCCUGAGAGCUGGAUACCACCAAAUCAGGCUAGCACCUGGAGAAGAGUACAAAACUGCAUUCUCUACUCACAUUGGUCACUAUGAGUUUACUGUACUGGCCUUUGGGUUGAGUGGAGGGCCUGGUACGUUCUGUAGCUCUCUGAACACUACCUUGAAACCUGUUAACAGAAAGAACACACUCUGUUUCUUUGAUGACAUCCUGAUAUUCAGUAAAACUUACAAGGAGCAUCUUGCUCAUGUUAGAGAGGUACUAGCUCUACUUAGAGCUGAUCAGUGGAAGGUGAAAUUAUCUAAGUGUGCUUUUGCUCAGCAACAAAUU
rnacentral:rRNA from 1 species